rnacentral:rRNA from 1 species
UACGGGGGGGGCAAGCGUUGUUCGGAAUUACUGGGCGUAAAGGGCGCGUAGGCGGUUCGCUAAGUUGGAUGUGAAAACUCUGGGCUCAACCCAGAGCCUGCAUCCAAAACUGGCGGGCUAGAGUUCUGGAGGGGGUAGCGGAAUUCCUGGUGUAGCGGUGAAAUGCGUAGAUAUCCGGAGGAAUACCAAAGGCGAAGGCAGUGUCCUGGCUGGUAACUGACGCUCAGGUGCGAAAGCUAGGGGAGCGAACAGG